AUUACUUGUAAUUUGAUGGCGACCGGCGAACGGGUGCGUAACGCGUAUGCAACUUACCUUUUACUAGAGAAUAGCCAAGAGAAAUUUUGAUUAAUGCUCUAUGUUCUUAUUUACUCGCAUGAGUAAAUAAGCAAAGCUCCGGCGGUAAAAGAUGGGCAUGCGUCCUAUUAGCUUGUAGGUGAGGUAAUGGCUCACCUAAGCUCCGAUAGGUAGGGGUCCUGAGAGGGAGAUCCCCCACACUGGUACUGAGACACGGACCAGACUUCUACGGAAGGCAGCAGUAAGGAAUAUUGGACAAUGGAGGCAACUCUGAUCCAGCCAUGCCGCGUGAAGGAAGACGGCCUUAUGGGUUGUAAACUUCUUUUAUACAGGAAGAAACCUUUCCACGUGUGGAAAGCUGACGGUACUGUAAGAAUAAGGAUCGGCUAACUCCGUGCCAGCAGCCGCGGUAAUACGGAGGAUCCAAGCGUGAUCCGGAAUUAUUGGGUUUAAAGGGUCCGCACGCUGUUUGUUAAGUCAAAGGUGAAAUCCUACCGCUCAA
rnacentral:rRNA from 1 species